ensembl:lncRNA
GUUUGGGUCAAUGCGUCGUUCAGUGAGUCGUUCAGUGGGUUGUUCAGUAGGUGGUAAAACUGGGCCUUUUGUUUUGUCAUUAAGUAGGCAAAAGGGGGUGGGGUAGCAUACAGCUACAAAGAUAUAAAAGUAGCCAACUUGUGUUAUGCUGUGGUUAUUGCCACUGUGUUUCCGCAGGACACUGACUGAGAGAGAGAAGGACGAGAACAGAAGACAACUGUUCAGUUUUAAUGUAAGUACUGUUUGUUGGGCUUUUAAGUGGUUGAACAUGUAAAACUUGCAUGUGCCAUUCUCCUCAUUUUUAAACUUUAAAACUUUUUUUAAAACUUUUUUCUUGAAGUUUUAUUUUUUUUUUAGGGGGAAGGGGGGGAUGGAAACAAAGUUUCUGUGUGGAUGUAUUCUUGUUGUUGUUUGUUUGUUUUCUCAUACUGUCAAAAGAUACUAAAUUGAUAUGCAGAGUUUUUCUCACUCACUCUCUGCCUCUCACUCUUUGUAUUUACAGUGUAAACAAGAUGGAGACAAAUUUUGUGUAUUGCCUGCUUUGCAAAAAGCCUCAAAAUUGCAUUCAAACACACCUGAGAAAAGUUUGCCUGAAAGACUGCACACCACAGGAACGUGAGGAAGAAGCUUCCAGAGCCAUUGACUCACAGAAGCUGUUUGGUAAUGAAGGUAGAGUCUGGAACUUCACAGAGCUCCAGGAGUACUGCAAGGAUGAAGAAGCUUGCAUUAAACUCUGCACUCGCCUUCAAUCACGUGGAUUUCUCAUCACGAACAGUCCCCAAGCAUGCCCGACAGUCGUGCCAACAGCGAGGCCUGAUAAGAAGAAAAUUCUUGCCGUGGCCAUGAAGGACAUCGACUAUUUCCAUGCAAGACUUUCAGGCGGUGAUUCCAUUCCCACAUUUGCAAUGACUACCUUCAGACAGUACUGCGAGGCCAUCCUGAUUUUACAGCAUGGACUGACAGCAAAUGCUGUUCAACAACUUUCUGUAGAGGAGUGGAUGGCGCGGAAAGCAGUAACUGAUGGUGCUGAGCUGAGUUCCACAGCAUUCAGUGGUAACUUGAUGAUAACCAGCCAGGAAGAACAAGUAAGUCAUUCAUUCUCGGCAUCGACUGUCUUCUUACUCUAUAGGUACCUUGUGAAUUGAUUUUAUGAGAUAUUUAACAUUGAUUCCUUUAUUCUCUGGAG